rnacentral:ncRNA from 1 species
CUUUUCUCUGAGUGACAGAUUGAUAACUCUUUCUUGAAUACGUGGGUGGUGAUGCAUGGCUCUUCUUAUUUGGUGGAGCGAUGUGUCUGGUUAAUUCCAAUAAGGAAGGAGACUCUGGCAUGCUAACUAGUUAAGUGACCCCGGAGUGGUCAGCAUCGCCCAACUUCUUAGAGGGACAAGUGGCAUUCAGCCACCUGAGAC